AGGAAUUUUGUUAACCUCGGAGAAGGUAUUAGGCAUUUCCGAGUUCUAUGGUUCUGGCACGGUCGCUCAACCGUUGUAAUCAACCUAUUAUCUGAUUUUAAUACAUGUGUUAGCUUAUUCCAUAUUUUAACUUUUGAGCCAAUUUUAUUGAAUUAUUUUUUUUAGGAAGAUUUCAACGUUUUACCACGUCACAUAAAUGCACCUGCG
rnacentral:lncRNA from 1 species